rnacentral:rRNA from 1 species
UACGUAGGGUGCAAGCGUUAAUCGGAAUUACUGGGCGUAAAGCGUGCGCAGGCGGUUAUGUAAGACAGAUGUGAAAUGCCCGGGCUUAACCUGGGAACUGCAUUUGUGACUGCAUGGCUAGAAUCUGGCAGAGGGGGGUAGAACUCCACGUGUAGCAGUGAAAUGCGUAGAUAUGUGGAGGAAUACCGAUGGCGAAGGCAGCCCCCUGGGCUAAGAUUGACGCUCAUGCACGAAAGCGUGGGGAGCAAACAGG